rnacentral:rRNA from 1 species
GCCAGCCCGCUCAGAACUCAAGGAAUGACGGGGCCCGCACAAGCGGUGGAGUAUGUGGUUUAAUUCGAUGCAACGCGAAGAACCUUACCUGGUCUUGACAUCCCGGAGACCCUUAGGAAACUAGGGGGUGCUUCCAUCUGGAAGAAUCUGGAGACAGGUGCUGCAUGGCUGUCGUCAGCUCGUGUCGUGAGAUGUUGGGUUAAGUCCCGCAACGAGCGCAACCCUUGCCUUUAGUUGCCAGCAGUUCGGCUGGGCACUCUAAAGGGACUGCCGGUGUUAAACCGGAGGAAGGUGGGGAUGACGUCAAGUCCUCAUGGCCUUUAUGACCAGGGCUACACACGUACUACAAUGGCCGAUACAAAGGGCAGCGACACUGCGAGGUGAAGCCAAUCCCGUAAAAUCGGUCUCAGUCCGGAUUGGAGUCUGCAACUCGACUCCAUGAAGUUGGAAUCGCUAGUAAUCGUGGAUCAGCAUGCCACGGUGAAUACGUUCCCGGGCCUU